rnacentral:rRNA from 1 species
UACGUAGGGACCAAGCGUUGUUCGGAUUCACUGGGCGUAAAGGGUGCGUAGGCGGUCGGGUAAGUCUGAUGUGAAAUCUCACAGCUUAACUGUGAAACUGCAUUGGAUACUAUCCGGCUCGAGGAAUGGAGGGGAGACUGGAAUACUUGGUGUAGCAGUGAAAUGCGUAGAUAUCAAGUGGAACACCAGUGGCGAAGGCGAGUCUCUGGACAUUUCCUGACGCUGAGGCACGAAAGCCAGGGGAGCAAACGGG